rnacentral:ncRNA from 1 species
UUUCCCUCAGGGUAGCUGGAGCCCACACGGGUUCUAUCGGGUAAAGCCAAUGAUUAGAGGCAUCGGGGGCGCAACGCCCUCGACCUAUUCUCAAACUUUAAAUAGGUAGGACGGCGCGGCUGCUGUAACACCCCUGGUGUUACUGUAACUAAAAUUUGACCAUGACAUCAUGAGCAUUA